UUCCUACGGGGGGCAGCAGUGAGGAAUAUUGGUCAAUGGGAGAGAUCCUGAACCAGCCAAGCCGCGUGAGGGAAGACGGCCCUAUGGGUUGUAAACUUCUUUUGUCGGAGAACAAAACCCGGGACGUGUCCCGGACUGCGUGUAUCCGAAGAAAAAGCAUCGGCUAACUCCGUGCCAGCAGCCGCGGUAAUACGGAGGAUGCGAGCGUUAUCCGGAUUUAUUGGGUUUAAAGGGUGCGCAGGCGGUCUGUUAUGUCAGCGGUCAAAGCCCGGGGCUCAACCCCGCCCCGCCGUUGAAACUGGCAG
rnacentral:rRNA from 1 species